CAAGUCGAGCGGAUGAAGAGAGCUUGCUCUCGGAUUCAGCGGCGGACGGGUGAGUAAUGCCUAGGAAUCUGCCUGGUAGUGGGGGACAACGUCUCGAAAGGGACGCUAAUACCGCAUACGUCCUACGGGAGAAAGCAGGGGACCUUCGGGCCUUGCGCUAUCAGAUGAGCCUAGGUCGGAUUAGCUAGUUGGUGAGGUAAUGGCUCACCAAGGCGACGAUCCGUAACUGGUCUGAGAGGAUGAUCAGUCACACUGGAACUGAGACACGGUCCAGACUCCUACGGGAGGCAGCAGUGGGGAAUAUUGGACAAUGGGCGAAAGCCUGAUCCAGCCAUGCCGCGUGUGUGAAGAAGGUCUUCGGAUUGUAAAGCACUUUAAGUUGGGAGGAAGGGCCAUUACCUAAUACGUGAUGGUUUUGACGUUACCGACAGAAUAAGCACCGGCUAACUCUGUGCCAGCAGCCGCGGU
rnacentral:rRNA from 1 species